CCAGGCAUCUCCCUCCCCCGCAGGAGCCGAGCUCCUUCGGGGGGGGGCGGAGACCAGGCGGCUGACCCCUUCCCGGCCCCGCUGCCCUGCCGGGGGAGGCGCUCCGAAGUGGGCGUGAGGGGGACCCGCCGCCGCCCCCGCUCCGGUGGGAGACGCGGUCUGCUGGGCCUGGGCCUAAGGAGCGGGUUGACACUUUCUGGAAUGGGAGACUGAGAACCGGAAGCAGCUGCAGAAGAGCUUUCAACUGCCCACUUGCUGGCAGACACAAGACUUUGAGUAGCUGGCCACAUCUUGCUUCUAUCUGUGGCACAUGUUCUUAUAGACACCACAGAAGGGCAUUGUUUUCCACUGCCACUGAAAGUUGUGCACCACGACACCCUUGCCCCAGCUGAAGACAUGCUUCGGUUGUUAUACGUGGCUUCAUCAGCCACCUCACAUUCUCCAAAUCGGGCAGGAUCUGCCCUCCAAAUGUGGAUUGUGAGUUGCCAGGCACAAAUACCUCAGCAUCCGUGGCUUGGCAUGAGGACAAAUGUCAGAAGACAAAGCUUUUGCUACAACUGACUUCCACGGUAGCGAAUCUGCCAAGAUUAUCCUCCAUGCCCUGAAGGAGAACCAAGUAAGAACAUCUUCUUUUUAUUGGCCAGCCUUGCUGGCCAGGUGGGGCACAGAUUGCUCUCGGACAACAUCUACGAUCCCAGCAGUGUGCAAAGCCCAGGACACCAAAGUUGUCUAUGAAAAGAAGAAGGCCGUCUGCACAAGAUCAGCUGCAGUAGCACAUUCCGCUGUGCGUGUGAAAACCUUUUCAUAAAGCGCAUAGGAAUACUUAGAAUCUGCCCGGAGAAACGGAUUCUCUGCCAACUCGCUUUCCAGAGCCUCUUUUAUUUCCAUCUUGCAAUUAAUAUUCAGGGAUCGCUUUACAUUCAUAUGCUUUCCCCACUGUAUU